GAAAAUGGUAGCAUCUUGAUGAUCUUGGCUUUUCUUCGUUUUCUUCCUCAAACUGUUGACUUGCCGUGUCUGCGGACCAAUGCUCACUAAACAGGAAUAAAACGGAUUGAACUAUACCAUCUUCAAAGUUCAAGUGUGUUAAUAGAAAUAUAUCCAGCAACCUGUCUGAAGUUUUGCCAGAACAACUACAACAUUGGACCACAUGCACCGAGACCUUCUUACUUCAGGACUACUAGUGGGGAAUGGCUGUAUUUAAUUGUUGCUGUCAACUGUCUUGGUACCAGUCAUGACAACAUUUACCUACCUGCAGCAGAGGCCCUGCUGACUUUAAACAAUCAUAGCUGCAGGAUUGAACUAUUUCAUCUUGAAGUGUGUUAAUAGGAAUAUAUCCAGCAACCUACCGGUAUCUGAAGUUUUGCCAGAAUAACUACAAUAUUGGACAACAAGCUCCGGAACUUUGUUAUUCAAGACACUACUUGUUGUGCGUUGGCAGAAAUGCAGAGUGGUACCACCAGUCGUCUAUGCCACCUUUCCCCUCAUUUUAGAGGCUAAUGUGGACAGUCCCUGCAGUUUACAGCUAAGCCCUCAGUAUAGCCCUACAAAUUUUAGAUACUGCCGAUGGCGCGUAGAUCCAGUACAUUGGGCCUGAGUUUCCAGUACUGGGUUGACAUCUCCAUGCAGCCGAACUAGAGCCAGGAUUAAUAUCAGACGGACCUCUCUGUGGGUGGAUGAAUUCAGAGAUGACCCCAAAGAUGCGGCCAUGACUGUGUCACAUGGACGUUAUAGAUGAAACCAUCAUGAUUUUUUGGUGAUAAAUCAACAGACAAAGUGUGUAUAAUUUGUGGAUAAAUAGUGUUAAAGCUAGAAACUUAUCUACGAAUUCCUACUCAAGUGGUGAACUGGAAUAAUAUUGUAUACAACAAAGAAGAGAAUCUUGUUGUGGGCCGACUUCUUACACAAUUCUGCAGUCGUCUGCACUAGACCUGUUGGAGCAGUUUGAUUUGAUUUAUCAGUGGCUCUACCUAAAGCAAGCUUUUGUUUUCACAAGCUUGAUGUAAUAUUCUUCUUAUUUUCAAACUAAAAAAAAACCCGACAUUUGACAAGUUCCAUGACAUAUUUAAGGCAUAUUUUCCGAAAAUUGAAAAGGUAACAACCCUUCAAAUACAUGAUUGUUUUUGAGUGAAAAAUU